GGUCAGACUAUUUUAAGAAAAUAGAAGACUAUCAUUUACAGCUGGUAUGGCCCUGUGGUGGUGUGGACCCAGACUUCAAGCACAGAUGAAGAUCGAAAACUGAUAUCCCGCAUCUGAUAUUAAUUCUUGCAUGGACUCAGCAAAAGUUGAAGAAAGUGAACAAAAACAGCAGUGGAAAGUUCAUAAAAGACAAAUGAAGAAUUCAGAGCCCAAUCCUAACCUCAAGCCAAGAAGUAAAAAAAGGAAGAAAAAAUCAAGACGCUCAGAACAGAACUCCAGCAAUAUUGAACCCAGGCAGAUAGAGUGCCAUCCCCACCACCAUCUCUACCACCACCAUCUCUUCCCAGAGGAGUUUUUACUCCUCCUCCAACUCCUUUGCCUUAACUAAGUGGUAAACCGUCAUCAUCACCAUCACCUUUAGAGACCUCCUCUACCACUACCUUUGUUGAGAGACCUACUCUCCAGGAU